GUGCCAGCAGCGCGGUAAUACCGGCAGUCCAAGUGAUGGCCGAUCUUAUUGGGCCUAAAGCGUCCGUAGCUGGCUGCGCAAGUCCGUCGGGAAAUCCACUCGCUUAACGAGUGGGCGUCCGGCGGAAACUGUGCGGCUUGGGACCGGAAGGCUCGAAGGGUACGUUCGGGGUAGGAGUGAAAUCCUAUAAUCCCGCACGGACCACCGAUGGCGAAAGCACUUCGAGAAAACGGAUCCGACAGUGAGGGACGAAAGCCAGGGUCUCCAACCGGAUUAGAAACCCUUGUAGUCC
rnacentral:rRNA from 1 species